GUAUAAUAGCAGCAAGUCUUUAUUAGCACAGGGGAGGAAAGUCCGGACAUCGUUUUGGGUUGCUUUGGCAAUCUGAUUCAUGGGCAGUCGGUAACGCCGACCAUCCGCGCUGUGAAGCGCGAGAUAGGGAAAGUGCCGCAGAGACUAUACUAUUCCGCCAAUUCGGCGGAAGAAAGGUGAAAAGUGAGCCGGUGUCUUUAUGGCUACGGCUCUCCGCUCGCAGUGAUGCGAGCAGGCGGUAAACCCUGCUUGAUGCAAGAGCAAAGCCCGCCCAAAUUUUUUGACAUUUUAUUGGAUUCGCCUGAAGGCGACAUUCCGGAAUGUCGCCUUCAAUUUCAGGCUGUAAAUUGUCAAAAAACUUGGGCGGGUUAUAAGUAGCUCGCAAGAGGCUAUGAGCAAUCAUAGUCCCAGAUAGAUGAUCAUCCCCGCCGAUUCGGCGGGACAGAAUCCGGCUUAUAGCUUAUUUAAACUC
rnacentral:RNase_P_RNA from 2 species